rnacentral:rRNA from 1 species
AGUGAACGCUGGCGGUAGGCCUAACACAUGCAAGUCGAACGGCAGCACAGUAAGAGCUUGCUCUUACGGGUGGCGAGUGGCGGACGGGUGAGGAAUACAUCGGAAUCUACUUUUUCGUGGGGGAUAACGUAGGGAAACUUACGCUAAUACCGCAUACGACCUACGGGUGAAAGCAGGGGAUCUUCGGACCUUGCGCGAUUGAAUGAGCCGAUGUCGGAUUAGCUAGUUGGCGGGGUAAAGGCCCACCAAGGCGACGAUCCGUAGCUGGUCUGAGAGGAUGAUCAGCCACACUGGAACUGAGACACGGUCCAGACUCCUACGGGAGGCAGCAGUGGGGAAUAUUGGACAAAGGGCGCAAGCCUGAUCCAUCCAUACCGCGUGGGUGAAGAAGGCCUUCGGGUUGUAAAGCCCUUUUGUUGGGAAAGAAAAGCAGCAGGUUAAUACCCCGCUGUUCUGACGGUACCCAAAGAAUAAGCACCGGCUAACUUCGUG